GUUAGUAACGCGUGGGAUAUGCCCUUCUCUACGGAAUAGCCUCGGGAAACUGAGAGUAAUACCGUAUACGCCCUUUGGGGGAAAGAUUUAUCGGAGAAGGAUUAGCCCGCGUUAGAUUAGAUAGUUGGUGGGGUAAUGGCCUACCAAGUCUACGAUCUAUAGCUGGUUUGAGAGGAUGAUCAGCAACACUGGGACUGAGACACGGCCCAGACUCCUACGGGAGGCAGCAGUGGGGAAUCUUAGACAAUGGGCGAAAGCCUGAUCUAGCCAUGCCGCGUGAGUGAUGAAGGUCUUAGGAUCGUAAAGCUCUUUCGCUGGGGAAGAUAAUGACUGUACCCAGUAAAGAAACCCCGGCUAACUCCGUGCCAGCAGCCGCGGUAAUACGGAGGGGGUUAGCGUUGUUCGGAAUUACUGGGCGUAAAGCGUACGUAGGCGGAUUAUUAAGUUAGAGGUGAAAUCCCAGGGCUCAACCCUGGAACUGCCUUUAAUACUGGUAGUCUUGAGUUCGAGAGAGGUGAGUGGAAUUCCAAGUGUAGAGGUGAAAUUCGUAGAUAUUUGGAGGAACACCAGUGGCGAAGGCGGCUCACUGGCUCGAUACUGACGCUGAGGUACGAAAGUGUGGGGAGCAAACAGGAUUAGAUACCCUGGUAGUCCACACCGUAAACGAUGAAUGCCAGUCGUCAGGGGCUUGCCC
rnacentral:rRNA from 1 species